AUGGAAAGUUGUAAAAAAUGGUGCAGCCCCUUUGUGGGGGCGGACAAGGUGGCUUGGGGGCGGUUGGCCGGCCGACGGCGGCGGCUCCCUUCAAGGGUGGUGGCGAUGCUUUGAUUCAAGUUCCUCUUCUUCUUCCUCACCAACUCUCCUCCUCCACUGACAUACUUUGAGUAGCUUAAAUUAAACAACAAAAACAUUCAGCAAUUCAUGGCAAUGGUAUUGGAGGAAAAUUGAUGAAGAAUUGCCAACGAAGCGGAGAUUUGCUCUGGCUAGAAGUUGCGCGCAAAGUGUCGAAGUGAAACUCGGACAACUUCAAGAGCUAAGCUCCUAUACUUCUAUUAAUUUCCAAGUUUGUUGAUGAUGAUGAGUGAACGUAGACGAUGAAUGUAGAAGUUUGAUUGAGUUACCAUGAUCUUGCUGUGGUAUAAAUUGAUGAAUUCUUGAUGAUGAAAUUGCUUGGAUUGUUGAAAGUUGUUGAAACUUGAUGAUCGCCUGAAACUUGAUGAAGAUUGUAGAUAGAAAUUGAUGAUUGAUUGUUGAAUGAUUGUGGCUUAGUUGCACCAACUUAGAACUUCAAUGUGAAGUUCUAAAAUGGUGAUUAAGAUGAGCUUUGGUGAAGGUUAGGGAAUGAUGACAAAUUAUGAGAGAUGGUGAGAAAAAUGAAAAAUGGUGAGAAAAUGUUGAAAUGGUUCAAAGUGGUUAACCCCUAAAUUGUGGAAAAUGACAUGUUUAUAGUUUUUGUGAUUGAUUGUUGAUCUUUGGAUUAUGAUCCAAGCAAGAAGUUUAUCAACGGUUGAAAAUUAAUUUGAGCUUAAGUUGCGGAUCACUAAUCUCAAGUCUCAACCGUUGGAUCAAUUAUUAAAAAGAAUUAGGAUUGAAUGAAAAUAGAAGUUAGAUUUUGUGAUAGUUUGAAAAUUUUAAGGAUGUUAGAGGUAGUUAUGGAAGUUAAGGGUAUUUGAGUAAAUGAAUGGUUUGUGGGGAAUGAGGUAGUUAGAGAUAGAAGUGUUUGAAUUUAGCAAAAGUACCGAGUUAGAGGUUAAGAUGAAUGAUCACUAGCUUGAAACUUGGAUUUUGUUGAUUUUUGCAUUGGUUUUACUUUGAUUUUGGUAGUUUUUGGCUUGACUUUUUGUGAAAUGCUUUUAUGUUGAAAAUAAGCACUUUCGGAUGGUGUAAACCUAUGGAUUCAAUUCUGAUUUUUUAUGCAUGGAAUAUCUUAAAUUGCAUCAUGGAAACAUUAUUGUGGAAUCGGAACAUAUUGCAGAAUUUUUUCCAAGUAUUAUGCAGAAUUAUUUUUUCUUGAUUUUCGAGCAACUUUUGAUUGACUUUGAUUCAUGAUAUUUGACGAUUAUUUGAUGUGUCUUUUUCCUUGUAGCAAGGUAAACAAUAUGGUGGAAUAAUGAGCUCGAACCGAUAUCAGAAAGUGAAGAUAGAGGCAUGAGAAAGAGGCUUAAUGGAAGAGAGUUUUGUUGGAAUUUCUUUAUGUAGCAUAAACAUGUAAUUUCUUGGUUUUUGAUGAUGAAUGAUAGGUCUCUUGAUCUAAAAAUUGUAGAAUAAGUCUAGAAAAAUUUUAGGAGAAAAAAUUGAGUCGACAGUCAAAAGUUGAACAAAAGUCAUUGAAAAGUCUACAAUUUGACCAAAAAGUUGUGAUUUUUUAUCUUCUUUCCUUGUAAUCCAUUCUUUUAACCUGUAUCUCAAGAAAUAAAUGUUGUAUCAUGAAUAUGCAUGAAUGAAGUAUUUCUUAGAAUUUC